rnacentral:lncRNA from 1 species
CUAGCAUCAUAUUCAUAGACAGCAACUAAUGAACUCACCUUUAAUUACUGGUUUACAGGGAUCUGGAGCAGGAGAAAACUGGGUCCACACCCAAAGCAAGUGAGAAGUCCUGAGUGGUCUGAAUACUCUCACUGAGAAGAAGAAAGCCAGCAGAAAGCCAUCCAUUCCAGCGACUCUACAAGAGAGAAGUGACUGCAGAAAAUUGGAAUGCAAGAUUCAGAAAACAGACUUUGUAUAAGAUUAAGAUUGUGCUGAGAACUGGUAGUUGGGGAACAGUACUGCACUAGCACAGAAACGUGGCUUUUGUAUUGGAGCCAAUGCAUAACUGAUAUAGAGUAAGCUGAGUCUACAUACACAGUCU